AAGGAGAGAAGGGCACAUGAAGGAUGCCUUGGCUCUCGGAGGCGAAGAAGGACGUGACAAGCUGCGAUAAGCCGCGCCUAGGGGCAAAUACCCGUUACCAAGCGCGGAUUUCCGAAUGGGGCAACCCGGCCGGCGUUAUUGCCGGCCACCCGGCGAAGCCGGGGGCGAACCCGGGGAACUGAAACAUCUAAGUACCCGGAGGAAGAGAAAAUAACAAUGAUUGCGCGAGUAGUGGCGAGCGAAAGCGCAGGAGCCCAAACCGGGCGCGUCGGAAGGCGCGCGCCGGGGUUGUAGGACCGCCGGUGAAGGCGACAGUCCGGACUAGGGGAACGGCGUGGAAACGCCGGCCGCAGAGGGUGAUAGCCCCGUACCCGAAAGUCCGCGGACAGCGCCGAGGCGGCACCUGAGUAGCGCGGGACACGAGGAAUCCUGCGUGAAUCCGCGGGGACCAUCCCGCAAGGCUAAACACUACCGAGAGACCGACAGCGAACCAGUACCGUGAGGGAAAGGUGAAAAGGACCCCGGACAGGGGAGUGAAACAGAUCCUGAAAUCAUGUGCCUACAAGCGGUCGGAGCCACUACGUGUGGUGACGGCGUGCCUUUUGCAUAAUGAACCUACGAGUUGCCGUCGCCGGCGAGGCUAAGGGCGCAUGGAGCCCGGAGCCGGAGCGAAAGCGAGUCCGAAGAGGGCGGUUUUAGUCGGCGGGGGCAGACGCGAAACCGGGUGAUCUACCCUUGGGCAGGAUGAAGGACGGGUAACACCGUCUGGAGGUCCGAACCGGUAGGCGUUGAAAAGCCUUCGGAUGACCUGAGGGUAGGAGUGAAAGGCCAAUCAAACCCGGAGAUAGCUCGUACUCCCCGAAAUGCAUUUAGGUGCAGCCUCGGGACGAGCGCCGCGGAGGUAGAGCGACCGAUAGGAUGCGAGGGCUUCACCGCCUAUCAAGUCCUGACGAACUCCGAAUGCCGCGGCGCGCUUCCCGGGAGUGAGGGCGCGGGUGCUAAGGUCCGCGUCCGAGAGAGGAACAACUCAGACCACCGGCCAAGGCCCCCAAGUGCGGGCUAAGUUGGAGACAAUAACGGAGUGGGGCCGCAGGGACAGCUAGGAUGUUGGCUUGGAAGCAGCCAUUCAUUUGAAGAGUGCGUAACAGCUCACUAGUCGAGCGGCCCCGCAUGGAUAAUAAUCGGGCAUAAGCCCGCCGCCGAAGCCGUGGGAUGCCCCCGUACGGGGACAUCGGUAGGGGAGCAUUCAGGCAGCCGCCGAAGGCGGGGCGCGAGCCCAUCUGGAGGCACCUGAAAAGCAAAUGUAGGUAUAAGUAACGACAAGGGGGGCGCGAACCCCCCCCGCCGUAAGACCAAGGGUUCCUGAUCAACGCUAAUCGGAUCAGGGUAAGUCGGGGCCUAAGGGUAAGCCGCACGGCGAUCCCGAUGGACAGCCGGUCAAGAUUCCGGCACCCGGCCCGCGGGCGACGCGGCGACGGAGAAGUGGAAACCCCGCGCGCUGACGGAAUAGCGCGUUGAAGCGAGGUAGGCGUUAACGGGCGGCAGGCAAAUCCGCCGUCCGGCCGAGACGCGACAGUACCGCGAGCCCCCCGGGGCAAGCGGACAGCGGGCGGAAACAUGCUCCCGAGAAAAACCGCUAAGCAUUCAACCGCGGUGCCGGCCCGUACCGCAAACCGACACAGGUGGUCGGGUAGAACAUACCAAGGCGCUCGAGAGAUUCACGGUCAAGGAACUAGGCAAACUGGCCCCGUAACUUCGGGAAAAGGGGUCCCCUCCUUCGCGGGAGGGGCGCAGAGAAUAGGUCCAGGCAACUGUUUAACAAAAACACAGGGCUGUGCUAAGUUGAAAGACGAAGUAUACAGCCUGACACCUGCCCGGUGCCGGAAGGUUAAGAGGAGUGGUCACCGCGAGGGAAGCCCCGAAUUGAAGCCCCGGUAAACGGCGGCCGUAACUAUAACGGUCCUAAGGUAGCGAAAUUCCUUGUCGGGUAAGUUCCGACCUGCACGAAUGGUGUAACGAUCUGGGCACUGUCUCAACCGUGAGCUCGGUGAAAUUGUAGUAUCGGUGAAGAUGCCGAUUACCCGCAACGGGACGGAAAGACCCCGUGAACCUUUACUGCAGCUUAGCACUGCGACCGGGUGGACGAUGUGUAGGAUAGCCAGGAGGCUAUGAUGCGGGGGCGCCAGUCCCCGCGGAGCCGCCGUUGAAAUACUGGCCUUCGUCCAUCUGGUUCCUAACCCCCGUGCAGGGGGGACACUGCUUGGCGGGUAGUUUGACUGGGGUGGUCGCCUCCAAAAGCGUAACGGAGGCUUCUAAAGGUGCGCUCAGGCCGAUUGGUAACCGGCCGCAGAGUGUAAUGGCACAAGCGCGCUUGACUGGGAGGCCGACAAGCCGAUCAGGUAGGAAACUAGAGCAUAGUGAUCCGGCGGUACCGCAUGGAAGGGCCGUCGCUCAAAGGAUAAAAGGUACUCCGGGGAUAACAGGCUGAUCCCUCCCAAGAGCUCAUAUCGACGGAGUGGUUUGGCACCUCGAUGUCGGCUCGUCACAUCCUGGGGCUGGAGAAGGUCCCAAGGGUUGGGCUGUUCGCCCAUUAAAGUGGCACGCGAGCUGGGUUCAGAACGUCGUGAGACAGUUCGGUCCCUAUCUGUUGUGGGCGCGGGACAUCUGAUGAGACCCGACACUAGUACGAGAGGACCGUGUCGGACAGACCUCCGGUGCGCCGGUUGUCCCGCCAGGGGCACCGCCGGGUAGCCGCGUCUGGCCGGGAUAAGUGCUGAAAGCAUCUAAGCACGAAGCCCCCUCAGAGAUAAGAUGUCCGAUUUGGAGGGCCGUCGGAGACGACGACGUCGAUAGGCGGCAGGUGCAGGGGCUGCGAGGCCCACAGCCGAGCCGUACUAAUAGCCCGAAC
rnacentral:rRNA from 1 species